UUCCGGUGUGCACUGGUAGCUUGCUUCCUUUUCGCCGGGGACUGCCUCUGGCCUUCAUUGGCUGGGCGUAGGAGUCCGCAUGGUUACUUUGAGUAAAUUAGAGUGUUCAAAGCAANGCUUGUGCUCUGCAUACUUUAGCAUGGAAUAACAUGAUAGGACUCUGGGUCUAUUUUGUUGGUUUUCCGGAACCGGANUAAUGAUUAAGACGGACAGUCGGGGGCAUCCGUAUUUCAUUGUCAGAGGUGAAAUUCUUGGAUUUAUNGAAAGACGAACUUCUGCGAAAGCAUUUGCCAAGGAUGUUUUCAUUAAUCAAGAACGAAAGUUGGGGGCUCGAANAUGAUCANAUACCAUCCUANUCUCAACCNUAAACGAUGCCGACUANGGAUUGGCGGAUGNUAAUCAAUGACUUCGCCAGCACCUUUUGAGAAAUC
rnacentral:rRNA from 1 species